AGAGUUUGAUCAUGGCUCAGAUUGAACGCUGGCGGCAGGCCUACACAUGCAAGUCGAACGGUAACAGGAAACAGCUUGCUGUUUCGCUGACGAGUGGCGGACGGGUGAGUAAUGUCUGGGAAACUGCCUGAUGGAGGGGGAUAACUACUGGAAACGGUAGCUAAUACCGCAUAACGUCGCAAGACCAAAGAGGGGGACCUUCGGGCCUCUUGCCAUCAGAUGUGCCCAGAUGGGAUUAGCUAGUAGGUGGGGUAACGGCUCACCUAGGCGACGAUCCCUAGCUGGUCUGAGAGGAUGACCAGCCACACUGGAACUGUGACACGGUCCAGACUCCUAUGGGAGGCAGCAGUGGGGAAUAUUGCACAAUGGGCGCAAGCCUGAUGCAGCCAUGCCGCGUGUAUGAAGAAGGCCUUCGGGUUGUAAAGUACUUUCAGCGGGGAGGAAGGGAGUAAAGUUAAUACCUUUGCUCAUUGACGUUACCCGCAGAAGAAGCACCGGCUAACUCCGUGCCAGCAGCCGCGGUAAUACGGAGGGUGCAAGCGUUAAUCGGAAUUACUGGGCGUAAAGCGCACGCAGGCGGUUUGUUAAGUCAGAUGUGAAAUCCCCGGGCUCAACCUGGGAACUGCAUCUGAUACUGGCAAGCUUGAGUCUCGUAGAGGGGGGUAGAAUUCCAGGUGUAGCGGUGAAAUGCGUAGAGAUCUGGAGGAAUACCGGUGGCGAAGGCGGCCCCCUGGACGAAGACUGACGCUCAGGUGCGAAAGCGUGGGGAGCAAACAGGAUUAGAUACCCUGGUAGUCCACGCCGUAAACGAUGUCGACUUGGAGGUUGUGCCCUUGAGGCGUGGCUUCCGGAGCUAACGCGUUAAGUCGACCGCCUGGGGAGUACGGCCGCAAGGUUAAAACUCAAAUGAAUUGACGGGGGCCCGCACAAGCGGUGGAGCAUGUGGUUUAAUUCGAUGCAACGCGAAGAACCUUACCUGGUCUUGACAUCCACGGAAGUUUUCAGAGAUGAGAAUGUGCCUUCGGGAACCGUGAGACAGGUGCUGCAUGGCUGUCGUCAGCUCGUGUUGUGAAAUGUUGGGUUAAGUCCCGCAACGAGCGCAACCCUUAUCCUUUGUUGCCAGCGGUCCGGCCGGGAACUCAAAGGAGACUGCCAGUGAUAAACUGGAGGAAGGUGGGGAUGACGUCAAGUCAUCAUGGCCCUUACGACCAGGGCUACACACGUGCUACAAUGGCGCAUACAAAGAGAAGCGACCUCGCGAGAGCAAGCGGACCUCAUAAAGUGCGUCGUAGUCCGGAUUGGAGUCUGCAACUCGACUCCAUGAAGUCGGAAUCGCUAGUAAUCGUGGAUCAGAAUGCCACGGUGAAUACGUUCCCGGGCCUUGUACACACCGCCCGUCACACCAUGGGAGUGGGUUGCAAAAGAAGUAGGUAGCUUAACCUUCGGGAGGGCGCUUACCACUUUGUGAUUCAUGACUGGGGUGAAGUCGUAACAAGGUAACCGUAGGGGAACCUGCGGUUG
rnacentral:rRNA from 1 species